GUCCACGCCUUAAACUAUGAAUACUAAGUGUCGGCAGUUUACUGCCGGUGCCGCAGCUAACGCAUUAAGUAUUCCGCCUGGGAAGUACGGCCGCAAGGUUGAAACUCAAAGGAAUUGACGGGGGCCCGCACAAGCGGUGGAGCAUGUGGUUUAAUUCGACGCAACGCGAAGAACCUUACCCAGGCUGGACAUGCAGGUAGUAGAAGGGUGAAAGCCCAACGAGGUAGCAAUACCAUCCUGCUCAGGUGCUGCAUGGCUGUCGU
rnacentral:rRNA from 1 species